rnacentral:snRNA from 1 species
AGCUUUGCGCAGUGGCAGUAUCGUAGCCAAUGAGGUUUAUCCGAGGCGCGAUUAUUGCUAAUUGAAAACUUUUCCCAAUGCAUGUGAUUUAGUAAAAGAUAUGAGGGAAGUUCACGAAAGUCAACAUGAU